rnacentral:lncRNA from 1 species
CGAGCGCUGGAAACCCAGCGACCACUGGGUUCCAGCGAGCACUCAAACUUUCGCCAGCAGAGACUCCUCAGAUGCGCCGGAAGCCGCGCCGCGAGCGUCGCCGAUCGCACCUCUCGCCGGAAGCUCCAGACGCGCAGAAUCCACUCCAUUUCAGAGUUCAGAGGAUCCAGUCUCCAGACGCCGCCGCAGCAGCAGCGCCGGCUCCGGCCUCUUCUCCAGUCAUAGCCUACAUCUGUUUGCUGCAAAGAAAAGAUAAAGGGACCUGUGUGCGUCAAUUUCCAACCCAACUUCCCAAUUAUUACAAAACCCGGCUUGAAAUAACCUUGUCGUUUCAAUUGUUUGUGUGUGUGAGUGAAUGAGGGAGGUUGAAAAUUGGGAAUUUAGUUAACCGGGCUUUUGUUGAAGAGCUGUUUAUCUGAUUUUAGCUGGUAAAUAAGUCCAAGAAAGAAUCAUGUUUUCAAAAUUGUGUGCGUGUGAGGGAGAUCGAAAAUUGAAUUCAGCUAACUGGGCUUUAUUGAAAGCUGUUGAUUUGAUUUCAGCCAUUAAAUAAAUCCAAGAAACUCUGUAUUCUACAUUUUGUGUCUGAGAGAUAGACAGAGAGAGAGUGGGGGGGGAUUAAAAACUGGGAAUUUAGCUUACCGAGCUUUAUUGAAAAGUUGGUGAUCUGAUUUUAGCCAGUUCUUGGCUUUCUUUGUUGUUUUGUUAUUUUUUUUAAUUGACU